rnacentral:lncRNA from 12 species
GGGGCACUUGGGUGGCUCCAUAGGUUAAGAGUCUGACUUCAGCUCAGGUCAUGAUCUCUGGGUCCUGAGCAGGGAGUCUGCUUGUCCCUCUCCCUCUGCUCCUCCCCCACUCCUAGAUUCGCUCUCUCAAAUGAAUGAAUGAAUGAAUAAAUAAAUAAGCUUGUUUGUUUAUUUAAAAAGAAAAGUUAUUUCUGACCCAUUUCACAGCCUAUGGAAUAUUUUUUAAACAACUGUUUCUUUCCUUUCUUCUGCAUUUUCAACAAGAAAUAUCAGCAAAAACUGUAGCUUUCGAUGAGCAUCAUGAACAAGAAAAGAAAUACCUAAGGAGAAGAUUCCUGGGAGAAGAUACAUGGUUUCCCUGUCAUUAUCAUCUGGGUUCAGUUUCCUUGGAUUUUAUACAAGCCCCUUCCAGAGAAGUCAACAAGUGAACACAGGUAGGAAACACUGAGCUUGCCACAAAGAUUUGGGAAGACAAGUGAGUCAUCUUCCCCCCCCCCCAAAAAAUAACAUAACAAGCAUCUGUGUGUCUGUGUCUAUGUGUAUUUGUCAGCAGGUGGGUGUGAUAAUCAUUAACGAUGUUCUACGCUUCUGGCUCACCUAAAGUUAGGCGCAGCCAUGGGACUACUUCUGGUCAGCAAAAUGAGUGGAUUUGAAACAUCUACCAGCUAGUGCCUGCUCUACAGCCCUACUUGCAGGUUGCCUUUGUGAUCAUGGAAGCAGGUGUCCAAACAGAGCUUCCGUCAACCCAGGGUCUCAAGUGACCUUGGUGGACAAAGCCCUCCUAUCACCUAGGUUUGAGUUUAUAGCACAAAUGAAAAAGAAACAAUUUUAUUAACAACUUAGAUCUGGAAGUUAUGUGCUUAACCUCGCCAAUUCUUACCGGCUCAGGGGAUGAAAUUAUCAUUAUUCUAUUUUUAAAAGUGUACCAUUAACUAUCCAUACCUAGGAGAGUGAACCUCUCCUCCCUCUUGUGAGUCAUCUUGCCUCUACAGUGGAUGUGCAGAACAGCAGUGUGAUAGAGUGGAAGGAAGACAAGGUUUGGAACUCUGAACAGUGGUCCACGUAAGGUCAACUAGCUGGUAGCAAAGGUCGGACCUCUCACUAACUUGUAUUACUUAAGGCAAGUCACUUAGGCAACUUUACAUUUAAGUUACCUAUUUGUAAAAUGGGACAAUAAUAACUUACCUGUCUCUAUAACAACGUUGGGUAUCAAGUAAAAUAAUACACAAGUCAUAUGUGUCGCCCUUACUAAAGGACAGAAAUUUAUUCUGUUCUACUUUAAAUCCCCAAUCACUUAGUAUAAAGUAUCAUAUGUCACAAUUGAGUACUAAACAAAUGUUUAGUAGUUGGAGGCAAUUUUUUUUUCCCAAUAAUUAUUUCAGGCUUUAAUUCAUGUCGAACUCUGGUUUGUAGACUAAGCAAAAACAU